GUUUGGAUGAAGUUGAGGGCCAGUUCCUGUGAAUUACUUUAAGAUUCAGGCUGAGGUCCAAAGAAAUAUCCUACUGCAAUCAAGCUGUUGGAAAAGUACUGGGGCCUCUUAUCAGCAAAGAAGGGAGAGCCGAGGGGAUCCCGGCCAGCCGGCCAGAAUCCUCAGCUGCUUCCCACCUCCCUUGAAGACGACAAGAAGAAGAUUUUCGUGGUAGUGUCACUGUUGUCAAACUGGAUCGAAGAUUGCUGCUCCCUGGGAGCCUUCUGGGCAUCCUAUCUUAUGGCCAAAGAAUUUGGAGGAGUUACUCUUUCUUGGAGCUCAGCGAGUAUGAAGACCAGCAGUCUUCUGGCGACAACAAUGAGAAUGAAAUAUUGCUGAGGGAAAUCUCUACACUGUAUGUGGAGAACCUUCCUUUUCAUGUAACUGAAGAGCAAAUACAUGAGCUCUUCAGCAGAUGUGGCGAUGUCAGGAAUGUAGUAAUGGGUUUGGAUAGAGUCACGAGAAUGCUAAGUGGUUACUGUUUGGUUGAGUAUCACAACAGAGCUGAUGCUGAAAAUGCCAUGCGGUUCCUCAAUGGCACCUACCUGGAUGACCGCAUCAUUCAUAUAGCUUGGGAUCCUAACUUAAGAGAAAGCGGCCUGUAUAGUGAAGAGCAGUCCAGGGGCCAGCUAAGAGAUGAUUUCUGUGAUGAUUUUGAUGAUGGUAGAGGAGAUGCUGGAAAACAGUAGAAGAGGAACCCACCAGUGAAAACCCUAAAGUUCUCGCCCUCUCAAAAAAACCAAUUCCAAAGUACUGCCAGAUGGGCAAAUAGCCCACUUCAAAACACGUUUAGAUUCUAUACAGAACAGAAACUCAUUUGAUGUGCUUUCUUCUCUGAAAACUUAAUAAAUGGCACACAUUUGAACAUC